AUGCACGCUGGCGGCGUGCCUAAUACAUGCCAGUCGAGCGAACAGACGAGGAGCUUGCUCCUCUGACGUUAGCGGCGGACGGGUGAGUAACACGUGGAUAACCUACCUAUAAGACUGGGAUAACUUCGGGAAACCGGAGCUAAUACCGGAUAAUAUAUUGAACCGCAUGGUUCAAUAGUGAAAGACGGUUUUGCUGUCACUUAUAGAUGGAUCCGCGCCGCAUUAGCUAGUUGGUAAGGUAACGGCUUACCAAGGCAACGAUGCGUAGCCGACCUGAGAGGGCGAUCGGCCACACUGGAACUGAGACACGGUCCAGACUCCUACGGGAGGCAGCAGUAGGGAAUCUUCCGCAAUGGGCGAAAGCUUGACGGAGCAACGCCGCGUGAGUGAUGAAGGUCUUCGGAUCGUAAAACUCUGUUAUUAGGGAAGAACAAAUGUGUAAGUAACUAUGCACGUCCUGACGGUACCUAAUCAGAAAGCCACGGCUAACUACGUG
rnacentral:rRNA from 1 species